CACGUAGGCACCAAGCGUUGUCCGGAUUUAUUGGGCGUAAAGAGCUCGUAGGCGGUUCAGUAAGUCGGGUGUGAAAACUUUGGGCUUAACCCAAAGCGUGCAUCCGAUACUGCUGUGACUUGAGUUCGGUAGGGGAGUGGGGAAUUCCUAGUGUAGCGGUGAAAUGCGCAGAUAUUAGGAGGAACACCGGUGGCGAAGGCGCCACUCUGGGCCGAAACUGACGCUGAGGAGCGAAAGCAUGGGUAGCAAACAGGG
rnacentral:rRNA from 1 species